rnacentral:rRNA from 1 species
UACGUAGGCAGCGAGCGUUGUUCGGAGUUACUGGGCGUAAAGGGUGUGUAGGCGGUUCUCUAAGUUUGGUGUGAAAUCUCCCGGCUCAACCGGGAGGGUGCGCCGAAACUGGGGGACUCGAGUGCGGGAUGGGAGAGUAGAAUUCCUGGUGUAGCGGUGAAAUGCGUAGAUAUCAGGAGGAAUACCGGUGGUGUAGACGGCUCUCUGGACCGCCACUGACGCUGAGACACGAAAGCGUGGGUAGCAAACAGG